GGUCAAGUGAAUAAGUGCAUCUGGUGGAUGCCUUGGCGAUCACAGGCGAUGAAGGACGUGCAAGCCUGCGAAAAGCAGUGGGGAGCUGGCAAUGAAGCUUUGAUCCACUGAUAUCCGAAUGGGGAAACCCACUCCGCAAGGAGUACUCCUGCCUGAAUAUAUAGGGCAGGUAGAGCGAACCGGGAGAACUGAAACAUCUAAGUACCCCGAGGAAAAGAAAUCAACCGAGAUUCCGUAAGUAGUGGCGAGCGAACGCGGAAGAGCCUGUACGUGUUAUGGAUUGUUUU
rnacentral:rRNA from 1 species